GCCCCUUCCAGGGUUGGCCAGUUCUUAGAGACAGGGAAAGCCUGAGUUGGAGCAUGCCUUUGACACGCCAGCUAACCAAUCCAGAGCCAUGCCUUUCCUCCUCUAUCUGGCCCCUGCAGCCCAAGAGACAAUAUUCCCUGCGUUUCUAUGGAUCAGAAGUCCAGCUAAGUCCUGUGUUCAGGAUCAAGCAAGGCUGCAAUCAAGGUGAUGGCUAAGAUACCAUUGGGAGUUUUCACUGAAUUCCUUUGCCUGUGGUUGUAAGGUUGAGGGAGGACCUUGGCUUCUUGCUGGCAGCAGGGUGUGUGGGGGUGGGUGGAAUAUUCUCAAGUCCUCAACAUUGCCUGCAGCCUUCCCACAUGGCCAUUUUCUUAGUAAUGCCUGCAAGGGGGUCUCUAGAGCAAGCCUGCUAGUAAGAAGGAAUCUUUCUCAUAUAACAUAAUGUAACCAUGAGCAUCAAAACCCAUUACCUUUAUCAUGAUCUAUUGGUUAGGAGCAAACUGUGAGUUUCACUUUCACUCAAAAACAGAGGUUUGUACAAAGAUGUGAACACCAGAAAGUAGAAAUCAUGGAAGGCCACCAUAGAAUGUUUGUUUCAGUUAGUAUCUGAUUACCAAAUGAUCUGCUGGGAAAAUGUAUAUUCUUCUCAGGAGCUAAAUGGAAGACUCGAGGACCACAUCUCCCAAGGAGCACUGACUAUUCUGUAGGGCCCCCAUGUGCCUUUGUGAUCUGCAUUUUCAGGUUAACCUGGAAAGACUUCCAGCUUCUCUGGCAUCAGUACCUGCAAAAGUAGAGCUGCAGCAACCAAGCCAUUCACUGGAGGGCAUCUCAGAGAAGACCAGGUCACCAUGGAGAAGGAACAAAGAAGCCUCCUCUUCUCUGCCUUUGAAAAAUACGUCCACUCAUCACUAUCUGAAGAGAAGAAAAAAGCUGAAGAUAUAAAAUACUGAGGGAAGAUUUUAUCUCAAUUUUUAAAAAAUGAAAAGCAACUUUUGAAGAUGGGAGUGGCAUCAUUUCAUGGAGUCAAGGGGAAACAAGCCAGAGAUACAGAAGGGGAUCUUUGCACUAAUCAAGGCACUUGUUAGCAUCACCAAGGUCCUAAGGAGCUACCAUGGAUUGAACAGCUUUUCUUGGCAUACUCUUCCACCAUGCUGUUUCUGCUUUGGAGCAAGCUGACUUUGGACUGAACCCCACUGAAAACUGUGGGCCAAAUACGCCUUUCCUUCUGUAAGUUGUGUGUGUUGGAUAUUUUGUCCCAGCGAGGAGAAAGUGACUAAGACAAAGUACAUAUAGGUUCUCCAUUUAAUUUUGGAAAAGAUGUCUAGCAUACAGACACAGGUUCGGGAGUCAUUACAUAAGAAGAAUGUUCCCAACUUCUCCAGCCUUCUUAUGACAUCAUUACCUUUAAUGUCAAACAAACAAAACUACCUGAACUUCAGUUCCAUGCAUGUAAAUGCAAGAGGUCUGGACCUAAGAAAUACAUCCAAGUGGAGUGUGGAAAAAGAAGCUACGGCUUAACCUCUGGAGAGGGGAACACUGGGCAGGAAGUACCUUUGUCUCUAGACUCAGAGGAGGAUCCUGCAGGAUGGGACCCAGAUCUAUGAGUGAGGUCAUGUUAGUACCCGUGGCAAGUGGCACGACACUCAUUUUUGGAGUGGUGAAUUCCAAGCAGAUUUUACUUCACAAGUAGUGUGGUUGAAGUGCAGGAGCUAGGGUGAAAAGUGUUGCUUCAGUGACCUUUAAGAAUGGGAAGCAAAAGUGAAACAAAAACUUUAAACUUGCAAUUACUCUCUACUGGCAAAGCCUAAUGAGAAGGAGCUGACAAAAGAGAAAAGUGGUGUUUAGGUCCCAGCAUCACUGAAUAUAGAAGGAGGAGCUUGAGUUGAGAGAGAAUAACUUAAUCACUCAGGAGGAGCAUGGGUGGAUAUCUUAUUGCUCUCUUCUUGCGCUGAUCAAGAAUUGUGGUUCUAAGGAAUAGUUGUUUCAAGUCUUGCUUUGUGGUCAUAUGGACUUGGUUACGCUUUUCAAAGGAAAGGUAAAGCAUGGCUUCUGUCAUGAGUAAAGCUUCUCUUCUAGGAAAAAUAUAAACUCUGCACUUGAGGAGACCCUAUGCUUGGACAUCCACAAAAAGCUGGCAUCUUGUAAAGUUUAAAAUGUUGUUAAAUGUUCUUUUAAAAUGUUGCUACGGUUUGAGAAUGUUUUGGCCUCUCUGAAAUUCAUGUGGAAAUUCGAUUGCUGUUGUGGCAGUGUUGAGAGGUGAUCAAGCCAUUUAGAGGGAUUAGUGCCACCCUCACCAUCAGGACUGGAGCAGUUACUGUGACAGCAUGUUGUUAUAAGCAAAUUCACCUCUCCUGUUUUGCUUCCUUCACACAUGUGCCUUCUGGCACUUCCACUUUCUCUCUUGAGUUGAAGCAGCAUAUGCCCUCAGAAGAAUCCAAGCAGAUGCUAGCACCAGUUACAUGGAUUUCCCUGACUCCAGAACCAUGAAUUUAUAAAUCACUCAGUCUCAGGUACUGUUAGCAACAGAAAGUGGACUAAGACAAAUGUGUUCUUUAGUUAUUGCAUGUUUAAAAUUAGAAAAAUGAAAUUCUUCAUUCUUCAGAUAUUCUAGCCAAUCUGACACAUACUAAAUUUCAAAUGCUAGCCUCUGCAUUAUAUCUGCCUCCACCAAUAGCAAGAAACUCAGAGGAAACUCAGCAGCUCUGGCAGUGUUAGCUGCCAAGUGUGGGCACCUGAUAUAAAACUGCCUCUUUGCAAAACAAAGGAAACAAACACCUCAUAAGGA